CUGGAAUCGAACAGAACAUUUUAUGUGGUCUUUCUUCAGAAGGUAGUGAGGGAUCUCAAGGCCAACUUUGUUCGGAGCCCUUGUUCCAGUUGUCUCAGGCUGAGGUCUGGCCCCUGAGUACAUCCAUGAAAUACUGAUUUUCUGUGCACCAAAACCAGAUUGCAAGGGCCUGUUCUCCUGCUGGGACUCAGGGCACAGCGGCCAGUCCAAGUGUCAUCAGUUCCCCGAGGCCAAUCGAUAAUCAUUUAGGGGGGUUCUCCCAGCACCCCCUGGCCCUCAGUCGGCACGCCCCGCACGGUGCUGAUACGAUGGGACGAGCGCUGGAAUCAAUGAGUGACUCACUGCGAUUGAGCCCCUGGUCCUGGCUCCAGGGGACUUGCGCUGAUAUCAUCAGGCUAUAACGAGGCUGUGAGCUAUGGGGCCUGGCCAACAUGUGGCUCCAGUGUGGCGGGGGCUGAGUCACCACU